CUGAUUUUCAAAGACAAAAUGUCAAAUACUAAGGAAAUUUACUUCCAAACAUGCAUACAUGAAAUGGAGAGAAGAAAUCCUUUCCUAUUUCAUGUGCCCAUUUUCAUACACCAGUGUCUUAAUUAGCCUGAGAGCAUCUAUUCCUAAAUUCCUACCUCCUAAAACUCCUAGCACUGUUCCAGUAAGUUCACUCUUGGACAAGGAACAAUGAGAGACAAAAAGCCUACAUGCUGCAGGAGAAAAGGAGAAAAAAGAGAAAAUCUAUUGAUCCUUAAAAAACCUUUUAUUUCCUUUGCGCCGAGGUGAUUCUUUAUGAAGGUGAAUAAUUAAGACGAUGGAAUUGAGAAGAUCUUUAAAAAAAGGUGAUGAAAGAAGCCAUUCAUGGACUAAUUAACAAAAUGCUAGAAGCAAAUGUUAACAGUUAACUGAUUGAGUAUCUCAAGGUGUGGUUCAUUUAAACCUAGCACCUGAUUGCUUGCUUACUUUAACACUUGCAUGCUUGCUUGCAAACAAUUGCAGUGUUCACUCUGCUUGUUUUCUUCCUCCCAUCUCCCUGGGAGCUCUUGAAUGUCCUGAGAGGGAGGGAGUCCAGUAACUUGCAUUUGUGCCCACCCUGAGCUGUGCAAACAAUUUAGGAUUCUCCAGGAGAGGGGUCUCUGCACCAGGGUCUGCCUGUGCCCAGGCUACUGAUAACAUUGGAAGCCUGCACAGAAGUGACUGCUUGAUGUGCUCGUCGGUGGAGGACACAAAACUUCCUUUGAACUCGAGAGCAGAGGAGAGCACCCAGCUGAUGUAUAGACUGGCAGAAUGGAGCAGCAGAAGAAUUAAGUCCCGUUUCUCACCAAAGAUAAGCAACAGAGCGAGCGGGGAAGCAACACAAGGCUCGCCGGCGAGCAAAAGCUCUCCUGGAACGGCGCAGACAGGCAGGGCGCUGACCUUUAGGAGGGAGAGGAAAAGCAUCAUUUUUUUCCAGCCCUCCAGUCACUGGAUGAAAGACGCUUUAAAGCUUCCAUCAGAGGGUGAUGCUGUCAGGGAUGGCUGAUUGAGGAUGUGUGAGGCACGGUGCUGCAGAUCUUGUGGUCUUGGUGCUUGCCUGGGAGAAAUUAGAGGCAAGGAGGUGCCAUCCAUCACCUGCUGUUGUGCUCCCCAAAGCCCACAGUGCACGUAGCUGCAGCAAGACUGUGCCGUGCUUGCCCUCGGAGUUACAGCCCGUAUGCAAAGAGUGGAAUAAACGAAUGAAUAAAUCAUUGGCA
rnacentral:lncRNA from 1 species